GUACACUCCUGCGGGAGGCAGCAGUGGGGAAUUUUGGACAAUGGGCGAAAGCCUGAUCCAGCCAUGCCGCGUGCAGGAUGAAGGCCUUCGGGUUGUAAACUGCUUUUGUACGGAACGAAACGGCCUUUUCUAAUAAAGAGGGCUAAUGACGGUACCGUAAGAAUAAGCACCGGCUAACUACGUGCCAGCAGCCGCGGUAAUACGUAGGGUGCAAGCGUUAAUCGGAAUUACUGGGCGUAAAGCGUGCGCAGGCGGUUAUGUAAGACAGUUGUGAAAUCCCCGGGCUCAACCUGGGAACUGCAUCUGUGACUGCAUAGCUAGAGUACGGUAGAGGGGGAUGGAAUUCCGCGUGUAGCAGUGAAAUGCGUAGAUAUGCGGAGGAACACCGAUGGCGAAGGCAAUCCCCUGGACCUGUACUGACGCUCAUGCACGAAAGCGUGGGGAGCAAACAGGAUUAGAUACCCUAGUAGUCCCA
rnacentral:rRNA from 1 species